UGUCCAACAGCAGCAGCUGUCAGCUUUCAUCAUGCGAGGCCGCGGGUUCUCAUCAAAACACUCUGCCGUUCUGGAGAAAGAGAGAGAGACCUCGACGACUUCUCCGUCGAUUAGGAUUCUUCCUUCUCAUCCCUUAAGAGCUUGCUUCCUCCGGGAGACGUCUUAGACCUGCUUGAAAAUUCAAGCAGAGUAAGUGCACCAUUAAAUGUGAGCUGAAAAGAAUUUAUUCCUCCAUCUCUACUCUCAAAUCAAGAGCAGCUAUGUCAGGAGGAUAGACGUAAUUCCUUCAAAAAUAAAUAAAUCAUUUGUACAACUGAUGGGGAGAUAAAAGCUUCCAGAUAAGCCAUCCCACCCAGGGACUCCAGCCAGGGAACACGGAUGAUAUUGCAAUGCUAUUAGAAUUUGACCUCAUUUGACCAUGUGAUGGUGUCAAGGCAGGAAAAUGAAAGCCAUGGCAGGUGAGCACAAGAGCAGGUAAGGUAAAUUCAUAGGCAAACCUUUUUAAAGGAAAGUUGAAAGUUGGUUGAAAAGGGGAUGUGUCUUCAUGAGAAACCACCAAGAAUUUAUUGCGAUUGGAAAAAAUAGACAUGCAGAUUAGCCAAUGAUUAAUUUGACGUUUGUGAUUCAGGCUUUGGGAAUUUGGGAAACCAUAAGCCCUGCCAUCACCACCACGUUUGGUUAUAUGAGGGGGAUGAGAUGUCUCCCUGGGUUCCUUCCAAGGUAACCUGUGGUCCCUUUCUUCCCUUUGUUCUUAGACUCAUUCAUACCUUCAGUGUGAAGAAAGAGCCCAAGGUUUGUGCUUCUGACAACUUCUUAGAGGAAGUGUCUUCCUUUGCCUUCCCUUCCUUGCUGAAGUGUCAAAGUGGCAUCAGGCCAGAUGGAGAACAAGUGAAAUCAGCAGCUUGGAUUUUAAUGUGCUCAACUGAUGAAGCACCUAACAGAUUGUUUAGGGAAGUGAAAUGUUAAGCUAGGUGACCACAGUGGUGACAAACUGUCAUUCAUUUUAGCCGGGCGAACAGAUGCUUUCCAUUUCCUCUUUAGCACAGACACCUUGGUACAAAAUGAACAUUCUGUGUUAGUGUCAAGAGUAUGAAGUUCAGGGCUAAGGAUGUUAGAAGUCCAAGUUUAACCUGGGCUAGCCGACCAACUGAUUCACAGGUGCUAUCCUAAGCAUGUUUACUCAGGUGUAAGUCCCACUGGGCUC